rnacentral:rRNA from 1 species
CUACGGGAGGCUGCAGUGGGGAAUAUUGCACAAUGGGCGCAAGCCUGAUGCAGCAACGCCGCGUGAGGGAUGAAGGCCUUCGGGUUGUAAACCUCUUUUAGCAGGGAGGAAGCGAAAGUGACGGUACCUGCAGAAAAAGCACCGGCUAACUACGUGCCAGCAGCCGCGGUAAUACGUAGGGUGCAAGCGUUGUCCGGAAUUAUUGGGCGUAAAGAGCUCGUAGGCGGUUUGUCACGUCUGCUGUGAAAAUCCAAGGCUCAACCUUGGACUUGCAGUGGGUACGGGCAGGCUAGAGUGCGGUAGGGGAGAUGGGAAUUCCUGGUGUAGCGGUGGAAUGCGCAGAUAUCAGGAGGAACACCAAUGGCGAAGGCACAUCUCUGGGCCGUAACUGACGCUGAGGAGCGAAAGCGUGGGGAGCGAACAGGAUUAGAUACCCUGGUAGUC